rnacentral:rRNA from 1 species
UACGUAGGGGGCAAGCGUUGUCCGGAUUUAUUGGGCGUAAAGAGCGUGUAGGCGGUUUGGUAGGUCCGCUGUGAAAACUCGAGGCUCAACCUCGAGACGCCGGUGGAUACUGGCAGGCUGGAGUUCUGGAGGGGAUAGCGGAAUUCCUGGUGUAGCGGUGAAAUGCGUAGAUAUCAGGAGGAACACCGAUGGCGAAGGCAGAUCUCUGGGCCGUAACUGACGCUGAGGAGCGAAAGCGUGGGGAGCGAACAGG